AAGACCUUACUUCUACAGGAUCAUUUCUGCAGUAAGUGGUCGAUUGCAAAUAAUGUAAAAUUUUGCGAAAAAUAAACCAUGAUGAGGAUUCAUAGUGUUUUUCCUUGAGCGUGAGAAAGAUCGAAUAGUUCUCUUGUAGAGUUAUUCGAUUGUCGAUGAUCGCUGGAACUUUCGUUUGCGGGAGUUCGUGGGAAGGGCACUUUCUGAGUGGU
rnacentral:snoRNA from 1 species